rnacentral:lncRNA from 12 species
UUAGGGCAAGGAUCGCUUUCUUUUAGAUUUAAUGGAGCUCAUAAAAUAUCACUCCACCUAAGUGAAUUCAACAAUUUACCGAGAAAACGAGACUUUGUGAAGACUGUACCUGACUUUGAAAAUGACAAAUACUGUGCCCAAAACGUUUUAUCACUUUAUAUAGAAGGUCAAGAGAGAAAGCAAAACUCAAGGUUGGUAUUUUGUUUGCAAGUGGAAAAAACAUAACUGGUUUUCCUGACAGAA